rnacentral:rRNA from 1 species
AGUGAACGCUGGCGGUAGGCCUAACACAUGCAAGUCGAACGGCAGCACAGUAAGAGCUUGCUCUUACGGGUGGCGAGUGGCGGACGGGUGAGGAAUACAUCGGAAUCUACUUUUUCGUGGGGGAUAACGUAGGGAAACUUACGCUAAUACCGCAUACGACCUACGGGUGAAAGCAGGGGAUCUUCGGACCUUGCGCGAUUGAAUGAGCCGAUGUCGGAUUAGCUAGUUGGCGGGGUAAAGGCCCACCAAGGCGACGAUCCGUAGCUGGUCUGAGAGGAUGAACAGCCACACCGGGACUGAGAAACGGCCCAGACGCCUACGGGAGGCCGCAGUGGGGAAUGUUGGAAAAUGGGCGGAAGCCUGACCCAGCAAAGCCGGGGGGGGGAAAAAGGCCUUCGGGUUGGAAAACCCUUUUGGUGGGAAAGAAAAAGUGGCGGCUAAACCCCGGCCUUUUUGACGGUACCCAAAAAAAAAGCCCCGGCUAACUACGUG